ACCAAGUCUACGAUCUAUAGCUGGUUAUAGAGGAUGAUCAGCAACACUGGGACUGAGACACGGCCCAGACUCCUACGGGAGGCAGCAGUGGGGAAUCUUAGACAAUGGGCGCAAGCCUGAUCUAGCCAUGCCGCGUGUGUGAUGAAGGUCUUAGGAUCGUAAAGCACUUUCGCCAGGGAUGAUAAUGACAGUAC
rnacentral:rRNA from 1 species